rnacentral:rRNA from 1 species
UACGGAGGGUGCAAGCGUUAUCCGGAUUCACUGGGUUUAAAGGGUGCGUAGGCGGGUUGGUAAGUCCGUGGUGAAAUCCCCAAGCUUAACUUGGGAACUGCCGUGGAUACUAUCAAUCUUGAAUAUCGUGGAGGUAAGCGGAAUAUGUCGUGUAGCGGUGAAAUGCUUAGAUAUGACAUAGAACACCAAUUGCGUAGGCAGCUUACUACACGAUCAUUGACGCUGAGGCACGAAAGCGUGGGGAGCAAACAGG